UCCUCUAUUGUGCCACAUCUGACA
rnacentral:siRNA from 1 species